UACGGAGGGGGCUAGCGUUGUUCGGAAUCACUGGGCGUAAAGGGUGCGCAGGCGGGUUCAUAAGUCAGGGGUGAAAUCCCGAGGCUCAACCUCGGAACGGCCUUUGAUACUGUGGAUCUUGAGUCCGGAAGAGGUGGGUGGAACUGCGAGUGUAGAGGUGAAAUUCGUAGAUAUUCGCAAGAACACCAGUGGCGAAGGCGGCCCACUGGUCCGGAACUGACGCUGAGGCACGAAAGCGUGGGGAGCAAACA
rnacentral:rRNA from 1 species